rnacentral:rRNA from 1 species
GUGCCAGCAGCCGCGGUAAGACGUAGGAGGCAAGCGUUAUCCGGAGUUACUGGGCGUAAAGCGCGUGUAGGCGGAUUGGUAAGUGGUUCGUGAAAUCACCGGGCUAAACUUGGUGAAGCCGAAUCAGACUGCUAGUCUAGAGGCGGGUAGAGGGGUGUGGAAUUCCGGGUGUAGCGGUGAAAUGUGUAGAUAUCCGGAGGAACACCAGAGGUGCAGACGGCGCCCUGGGCCCGACCUGACGCUGAGACGCGAAAGCUUGGGGAGCGAACGGGAUUAGAUACCCCUGUAGUCC